rnacentral:rRNA from 1 species
AGUGGACGCUGGCGGUAGGCCUAACACAUGCAAGUCGAACGGCAGCACAGUAAGAGCUUGCUCUUACGGGUGGCGAGUGGCGGACGGGUGAGGAAUACAUCGGAAUCUACUUUUUCGUGGGGGAUAACGUAGGGAAACUUACGCUAAUACUGCAUACGACCUACGGGUGAAAGCAGGGGAUCUUCGGACCUUGCGCGAUUGAAUGAGCCGAUGUCGGAUUAGCUAGUUGGCGGGGUAAAGGCCCACCAAGGCGACGAUCCGUAGCUGGUCUGAGAGGAUGAUCAGCCACACUGGAACUGAGACACGGUCCAGACUCCUACGGGAGGCAGCAGUGGGGAAUAUUGGACAAUGGGCGCAAGCCUGAUCCAGCCAUACCGCGUGGGUGAAGAAGGCCUUCGGGUUGUAAAGCCCUUUUGUUGGGAAAGAAAAGCAGCAGGUUAAUACCCCGCUGUUCUGACGGUACCCAAAGAAUAAGCACCGGCUAACUUCGUG